CACUCACACACAUAGUUCACACACACACUGGUGCUGUGACUGUAGUAGGUUGGUGGUGUGACGGCUGUGUAGGCUGGUGCUGUGACUGUAGUAGGUUGGUGGUGUGACGGCUGUGUAGGCUGGUGCUGUGACUGUAGUAGGUUGGUGGUGUGACGGCUGUGUAGGCUGGUGCUGUGACUGUAGUAGGUUGGUGGUGUGACGGCUGUGUAGGCUGGUGCUGUGACUGUAGUAGGUUGGUGGUGUGACGGCUGUGUAGGCUGGUGCUAUGAUGGCUGUGUAGGCUGGUGCUGUGACUGUAGUAGGUUGGUGGUGUGACGGCUGUGUAGGCUGGUGCUGUGACUGUAGUAGGUUGGUUGUGUGAUGGCUGUGAC
ensembl:lncRNA